AUAUCCGGGGAUUCCCCAAAUACCACUGUAGCAAGUCGAAAUUGACCUAUUGUGUUUGGAGUUUUAUUUUUUCUUGAUAAUGCAAAAAUACUGAUCCAAUCAAAUGGAAAGUCAAUGGAUGAUUUACAACCAUCUACUUUUUAAUUUUCAGGAUAGAUUUUGAGGUAACAUGGGAAAAUGAACAAUCAUGUGAGAGCAUCUAAAUUCACGUGAAUAGGCGGAAAAGGGUUUCAAUUUCCAAGUAAAUCAAAAACUAUUGAUUCUCAACAAUGGAAAAAUACGGUAGUAGAAAUGAUAGUAAUGCACAAAAGCUAAUGGCUGUUGGAGAUCUCAAAAAAAAAUUCAGUGUUCAUAUUGAUACAUCUAUUGGUGGAUUAUAAAAAUAUUAUUUCCUUAUUUUCGUGAUAUCUUCGUGUAUCUUUGACAUUCCAUGAAAAUCAUGAAGAAUUCAGUAUCAUGUAACAUCAAAGUGAGUAUAUGAACAAUUUCCCAAAAUGAUGGAACAUAUUGUUUUCGAUUUGAAUACUAGUUAGCUCGAGCCAUCUUCAUCAGAAGCUUUUAAGACGAAUAAUGCAUCAUCCAACCAAUAAUAGGAUUGUCGUAAAUCUCCUUCACAAAGAUAUGGUACUCUGCUCCAAGACUCAACUUUGAAACCGCUGGGAUGAAAGACAUCUUCUAUUACACUAGUGACUUGCUCCUCGAAGCUUGCUCCGAUUAUUGGAAGCAGUUCCUUAGGUUUAUGGUUCUUGGAACCUGAAAAAAUUAUUAAAUAAGAAUUACAUUUUUUCAGUUCAUAAGUGGAUAUUAUGUUAUUCUAUAAAAUUUAAAUAACUUCAUUCAAAUUCACGGAAUCUUACUAAAUAAUAGUUAGUUACAUAUAUACUACAUAUAAUGACGAGAAAUUAGAGAGAUUAGAGAGAAAAUUGUAAGGUCACUUCAGGUUUUACUCAGGAUACUGUUUUGGGCCUCCUUCUUUUUAAAGUGUAAGUCUUUAAAUGAACGAUCUUCUACGCAAUUUACCGAAUGGAGCAAUUUUUUGUAUCUUUGCAGAUGAUACAGCCAUAAUAUCAGGGACAACACAUGGAAGAUGUUUGAGAUAAAAUGAUUGAUUUUCUGGAAUAUAUUUUCAAAUGACUAGAUUGGAACAUAUUUACUUUAUUUUUAGAAAUUAUAAGGAUAUUAUCGAUG